GUGGGGAAUCUUAGACAAUGGGGGAAACCCUGAUCUAGCCAUGCCGCGUGAGCGAUGAAGGCCUUAGGGUUGUAAAGCUCUUUCAGCUGGGAAGAUAAUGACGGUACCAGCAGAAGAAGCCCCGGCUAACUCCGUGCCAGCAGCCGCGGUAAUACGGUGGGGGCUAGCGUUGUUCGGAAUUACUGGGCGUAAAGCGCGCGUAGGCGGACCAGAAAGUUGGAGGUGAAAUCCCAGGGCUCAACCUUGGAACUGCCUUCAAAACUCCUGGUCUGGAGUUCGAGAGAGGUGAGUGGAAUUCCGAGUGUAGAGGUGAAAUUCGUAGAUAUGCGGAGGAACACCAGUGGCGAAGGCGGCUCACUGGCUCGAUACUGACGCUGAGGUGCGAAAGCGUGGGGAGCAAACAGGAUUAGAAACCCGUGUAGUCC
rnacentral:rRNA from 1 species